rnacentral:rRNA from 1 species
AAUACAUGCAGUCGAGCGGACAGAUGGGAGCUUGCUCCCUGAUGUUAGCGGCGGACGGGUGAGUAACACGUGGGUAACCUGCCUGUAAGACUGGGAUAACUCCGGGAAACCGGGGCUAAUACCGGAUGCUUGUUUGAACCGCAUGGUUCAAACAUAAAAGGUGGCUUCGGCUACCACUUACAGAUGGACCCGCGGCGCAUUAGCUAGUUGGUGAGGUAACGGCUCACCAAGGCAACGAUGCGUAGCCGACCUGAGAGGGUGAUCGGCCACACUGGGACUGAGACACGGCCCAGACUCCUACGGGAGGCAGCAGUAGGGAAUCUUCCGCAAUGGACGAAAGUCUGACGGAGCAACGCCGCGUGAGUGAUGAAGGUUUUCGGAUCGUAAAGCUCUGUUGUUAGGGAAGAACAAGUACCGUUCGAAUAGGGCGGUACCUUGACGGUACCUAACCAGAAAGCCACGGCUAACUACGUGCCAGCAGCCGCGGUAAUACGUAGGUGGCAAGCGUUGUCCGGAAUUAUUGGGCGUAAAGGGCUCGCAGGCGGUUCCUUAAGUCUGAUGUGAAAGCCCCCGGCUCAACCGGGGAGGGUCAUUGGAAACUGGGGAACUUGAGUGCAGAAGAGGAGAGUGGAAUUCCACGUGUAGCGGUGAAAUGCGUAGAGAUGUGGAGGAACACCAGUGGCGAAGGCGACUCUCUGGUCUGUAACUGACGCUGAGGAGCGAAAGCGUGGGGAGCGAACAGGAUUAGAUACCCUGGUAGUCCACGCCGUAAACGAUGAGUGCUAAGUGUUUAGGGGGUUUCCGCCCCUUAGUGCUGCAGCUAACGCAUUAAGCACUCCGCCUGGGGAGUACGGUCGCAAGACUGAAACUCAAAGGAAUUGACGGGGGCCCGCACAAGCGGUGGAGCAUGUGGUUUAAUUCGAAGCAACGCGAAGAACCUUACCAGGUCUUGACAUCCUCUGACAAUCCUAGAGAUAGGACGUCCCCUUCGGGGGCAGAGUGACAGGUGGUGCAUGGUUGUCGUCAGCUCGUGUCGUGAGAUGUUGGGUUAAGUCCCGCAACGAGCGCAACCCUUGAUCUUAGUUGCCAGCAUUCAGUUGGGCACUCUAAGGUGACUGCCGGUGACAAACCGGAGGAAAGGUGGGGAUGACGUCAAAUCAUCAUGCCCCUUAUGACCUGGGCUAC